AUUGAACGCUGGCGGCAUGCUUUACACAUGCAAGUCGAACGGUAACAGGUUAUGCUGACGAGUGGCGAACGGGUGAGUAAUGCAUCGGAACGUGCCCGAUCGUGGGGGAUAACGCAGCGAAAGCUGCGCUAAUACCGCAUACGAUCUGAGGAUGAAAGCGGGGGACCGUAAGGCCUCGCGCGAUCGUAGCGGCCGAUGUCAGAUUAGGUAGUUGGUGGGGUAAAGGCUCACCAAGCCGACGAUCUGUAGCUGGUCUGAGAGGACGACCAGCCACACGGGGACUGAGACACGGCCCAGACUCCUACGGGAGGCAGCAGUGGGGAAUUUUGGACAAUGGGCGAAAGCCUGAUCCAGCAAUGCCGCGUGCAGGAAGAAGGCCUUCGGGUUGUAAACUGCUUUUGUACGGAGCGAAAAGGCUCUCUCUAAUACAGGGGGCUCAUGACGGUACCGUAAGAAUAAGCACCGGCUAACUACGUGCCAGCCGCCGCGGUAACAC
rnacentral:rRNA from 1 species